CUUAUUGAUAAUAUCAAUGCAUGAAAUAAUGCAACAAGCUGUAGAUGAACAACAAUGUAUUGAACUGGAACUUUGAGACAUGAGCACUGGUGUUGUGUCCACUGAUAUAUUGCAUUGUUCUAUGCAUUCACUGUUGUAGUAUUGUAUUAUAUGCACUUGCAAGUACAGACACUAGGGGCGCUAGUACUAGCGGUAGUGUCGUGUUGAAUGUACUGUAUGAAGUUAAGAGACUGAGUAAACUACGCUCUCUGUUCCUUAUGCUUCGUGUGUGUUAAUGUCUUCCGAAACAACACCACAACAAAGUGGCGACGAGGAUAAUAGUGAAGAAAUGUCUCUGCUAUCUAUACAACCUCCUGCCGUGUUCCUGGAUUGCCCAGGAGAGCCGAAAAUUCCAUUUACUGCGUGGAAAGGCUACUUCGACAACUACUUGCUGGCGAUUGGAGGUGAUGCUUUUCCUGCUGCGAGGAAAAGAGCCUUGCUUAUUCACUGUUUGGGAACGGAAGGGCAACGAAUCUACAGCACCUUACCACUCGAAACCGAUGAUUAUGGCGGAUCCGUGAGUGCUUUGGAAAAGUACUUUGAGCCCAAACUCAACGUUGUUGCCGAGAGAUACCGCUUCAGACAACGAGCACAAGCUGUCGGUGAGUCUACAGAUCACUACGUAGCAUCACUGCGUGAGCUCGUUAAAAAGUGUAAAUUCGGAACGUUUGAGAAUGAAAUGCUACGUGAUCAGAUUGUGGAGAAAACCAAUAGCACCCGGAUACGUGAAAGACUUUUAAUGGAGGAAGAUUUGACUCUUGACCGUGCUUUGGCUCUUGCUAGACGUACUGAAGCUGCCAUAGCUGAUGCCAAGGCCAUUUCUGUGGCGGAUACAAAGCCCGUUGCCGCCAUUCAAGUUCAAAAGAAGGCGCGCAAACCACAAUACAAAGGCGCACAGAAAAUGGAUGGAACUAUGUUAUGCUACCGUUGUGGUUCGGCUGAUCACAAAGCUAACGAUAAAUCCUGCCCUGCUAAGGACUGUAAAUGUAACUCAUGUGGGAAGGUUGGGCACUAUUCUCGUGUCUGUAAAUCAUCUCAACAGCUUGUUAAUGAAGUGACUGUGCCUGAAUCCUCUGUUUUAAGUGUUGGACAUUGUUGCACUGUUGACACAGCUAAACUCAUGUGCAAUGUUACUGUAACUGUACCAGACACUGAACAGACAUGUACUGUUAGACUGUUAGUGGAUACAGGGUCUAGUGUCUCUAUACUGCCAGAGAAUAUUUACAGUGCAAAUUUCAGCGCAGUUAAACUAAAGGAGCCUGGAGUGCAGCUGGUGACAUACUCUAGAGAGAAACUGAAUGUAUUAGGAUGCCUUAGAGCUAGCACUACUUAUCAGGGCAAGAGUGCUUUGACAGACUUCUUCAUUGUGAAAACAGGGACACCUAUACUGGGCAUGGACCUGGUGACUGCCCUCCAGUUACACUUUAAAGGUGACCAGGUUAUAUCUGAGACUGGGACUGUCAAGAUGUGUGCAACACUUCGCCAACCCGACACCCACUGCAAACAGGAAUGCGAGUCUCCAACAGCAUUCGGGUGUGCAAAAGGCUUCGUACACAAGGUGAAGGUCCGACCGGAAGUGAAGCCGGUACAGCAAAAACUUAGACGUCUACCUCUCUCAGUUCGUGAUGCUGUCUCCCAGGAACUCAGGAACCUGGAGCAACAUGGAAUCAUUGAGAAAAUUGAUGCAUCUGAGUGGGUCUCCCCAAUUGUAGUCACUAAAAAAAAGUCUGGUGAUAUACGCAUGUGCGUGGAUUUGAGAGAGCCAAACAAAGCUGUAAUCACUGACAGCCACCCACUGCCACUGAUUGAGGACAUACUGUCAGAACUGCAUGGGGCUGUUAUGUUCUCUACCCUGGACCUCAAAUCUGCUUACCAUCAGUUGACAUUGCAUGAAGAGAGCAGGGGACUCACUGCUUUCAUUACACAUGAAGGUCUGUAUCAGUACUGCAGAGUACCCUAUGGACUGUGUUCAGCUCCAGCUACAUUUCAAAAGAUGAUGACACAAAUUCUUAGUGGCCUAAAAGGGGUGCAGUGCUAUCUUGAUGAUGUCAUUAUAUA
rnacentral:lncRNA from 1 species